UCACGUGAGGUUUGAAUAUGUGACACUUUAUGUGAGUGUCUUUAUUUGUGGAAAGGGUGUUUGUCUUACCAGUGGGUCCAAACUUACACACACCAAAUCCAUCUGUGCUCAUAUGAGACAGUGUGAAGGACGCCCUCUGCAGUGCUUACAGUGACACUUGUUGAGGGGCUGCCUUCUGUCGCCAUCGUGUGGCAUUACUGUCUUCAGACAUCUCUUGAUCUCUUUGACUACUGCAUGAAAAUUGUAAUACGCCUUGCCGGUGGCGGAUUUAAAGGCGAGGAGAGGAGCUGAUGUUAUUGGUCAAUACAGGUCUCGGCUGUGUUAAACCCACCCCACGCCCUCUCUCCUCCCUCGCUAGGACUUACACCGCUGGGAGGAGCUGAGUUAGGGAGGGGGGAUACUUACGCCGGGUUGUGCUGCUCACCAAAAUACCAAAUUGUGCUUUGGAACGCCCUUGUCGGCGCGGGGGACCUGACUUACGCUGCGCAUGCACCGCGUCGCCGGUGAGGCACGAAAAUAGAGCCCUAUGUCUGCAGACAAACUGGUGAACGUCUGAAAGCACCAUGUGUUACACCCACAAUUCAGCAUGGAGGUGGUAGUUCCAUGGUAUGGGGAUGUUUUGCAGGUGAUGGAGUAGAAGAUUUGUUUGAAGUAAAGGGUAUCAUGAAGAAGGAACAGUACCACUCCAUCCUCCAGCACCAUGCUGUUCCAUCUGGACUCAGACUUGUGGGUCAUAAGUUUGUUUUGCAGCAAGACAAUGACCCUAAGCACUCUGCCAAGCUCUGUUAGGGUUACCUAGACAAAAAAGAAGAGGAAGGUGUUCUUCAAAAUGAUUUGGCCCCCUCAGUCUCCACACCUUCCUCCAAUUGAGCUUGUGCAGGAUGAAUUGGAUCGAUCGGUCAGAAAAGUGCAUCCCAUGAAUCAGCAGUCUCUUUUUAAUGAAGUUAAUAAAGCUUGGAAUGCAAUCCCUGGAACAUACCUUAAAAAACGCCAAUAUGCCAAGCUGUUGUUAAAGCCAGAGGAGGUUACUUUAAAGAAAGCAAUAGUGUUUAUUGUGUUGCAAAUUAUAUGAAACUAUGGUCUUUUUUUGUACAAAUUUGAUCUUGCUUCCAAACUUUUGGAACAACAUAACAUAAGUGCUCCAGGCCUGUAGGAGAGCUCAGAUUACUGAAUGUUUAAGUACGUUUUCAUCACCUCUGCCUAUUGCUUGAGGACCUGCACUCUUCAUUAUGUUGUCUGACUGUAAGAGGAUUUAACAGGACAGAACAGGGAAACUAGCUGAACCUGCAUCCUUCAAUCUGCAGAGCGACCCUGCUGCUUAUUCUGAGUGUUAUUCAGACAUGUGCUGGUGUGAUUUGCCGCUUCUGCUACUCUGUUGCUUAUAAUAGAGUCGGCACUGUGGUGACUCACACCCUCUCAAGUCUGCACUUGCAAACAAUCACAGGCAAAGAGUGUGUACACAGUCAACACACUAAAACACAAAUACACAAACACACAAAGGCGUAUCUCUCCACAUAAACAGUGUGUGAGAGAAGCGGAUACACAGCUGUGAUUUACUUCAUUUUCCAUUUCUGCUCUCAGCAGAACUCCAGACGGCUGCAGACUCUCUCUCCUCACUUCAGAGCCUGUUUCUGGGUAUCUUUCUGGGUUUGGUGAGAUACGGUUGAGGUUAACAGCAAGCGAGGCUCCUGAGACAGUGGAGUAAACAGCAGUGAUUUACCUCUCUGUUAUCCUGCCCUGUAGUGGGUCAAAGUCGACGGGUCAGUGUGGCCUCUGGUCCCCCUCAGAGCGGCCUGCUGCCCGAGCCAAUUGUCCCAGAGUGGAAUGGAACAGGGAAGCAGCUGGAAGUGUGAGAACACACACCGUAUUUACAAUAGGAAAACACACACUCACACACACAAUAUGACAUCCUCUCAGCUUAUCAGGCCGCAUCUGUUUCCUGGAGUGCACAGCGGCUGACAAACUCCAUUCAGAUGAGUCGUUUUUCAUACGUGCUCAUCUUUCCCAAGUGAGUCACAGAGAGAACAGGUCCACUCAUUUAUAUCUCCUCACUCCAACAACUAUAAACAGUCUCAGGAUGUCCAGCAUGUCCUCGAUAGCCUCCAAACUCCACAGUAACAAUAGAGCGGCCAUUGUUGAUAUGUUAUCACAGUGCGGAUGUUAGACACCGGCACUAUGAGUUCACCCGUUUGUGGUUACUACACGUGCUCUCAGUGUUUAUAUGGAACCAAACUUAUGUGUAGUGAUACCUUUUUUUCCAAAGCAGGGGUUUAAAUGUGCAGCUUUGAGUUUUUAAAAAGAGGAAAACCCGCCUCUGAAAAAUACUAUACUUAAGUUUGGCAUGAUGACUUGCCACAGUCCCUUUCAGAGAAGCUGCACCUGAACUGUGCAGGUUUUUCCUGACUGUAAUUUUUCUGUCAUCAACGGUAAAAAACUGGUGGAUAAAGACGAAAAAAUGGUGGAAAUAUUUAUCAAAAACUCAUUUCAUGAAUUUUUGCUAAAUCUUGUUUUUUAUUGCUCUAACUUGAUCUGUAGCUUGCAGGGGUGAUCAGUCAGAAUGUAUAGAACUUCACAUUGCCUGUCCCAUUUGGUGCUGAGGGAAGUUCAGGAAGGUCCCAAAGGUUUGCAUAUUUGCUCUGUUUAGCUCUGCAUCAUUCAGUAAGAAUUUUUGCAACUAAGACUCUCAUCUGUUUGCUUUUUGCUCUCUGUGUGUGAGUUCCUUCCAUGCUGCACCUCAUCACUACAAACUAGGGAUGAGAAGAUUAACCGAUACGUAUUGAUACGCGGUCAUGCAUUUGCAAGAUGCGGGUGCACCGGGAGAGCAGCUGAGAGUGAAUGCAGUUUUGAAUGCAUAUGGAGAUGUAUUUUUAUUAUAUGUUUUUAUCAAUACAAUCCAAUCAGUUUAAUACAUAACUUUUACUUUUACGUUACCAAACCAUUUUGAGGGCAUAAUGCCUUUGGAUGUACACUGCAAACUAAAAUAUCAGCUCUGCGGAUGAACUACAUGUGCCACGGACAAAUACUAGCAGUGAGAAGGAGUGUGAGGAGUAAGGUAAACCAAUAUUUCUUUAUUUAUUCCUUUGCUGUUGUUCAUGUUUAAUGUUGCUUUGUUGAUUUUUAACUGUUUGAUGAUUAAUGAUUUUGAUUGUUAAUAGUGUUUUAUUAUUGUUUUUAUAUGUUCUGUAAAGUGUCCUUGUGUGACGUGAAAGGCGCUUCAAAUAAAAUGUAUUAUUAUUAUUAUUAAUAUGUCAGACACUAAGCAAAUUUACCCUCCUCUGAGUUGUAAAUCUAAAGUUUGGCAACACUAUGGGUUUUACAAAAAAGACAGAUGACUUGACAAGACAGAUUUGCAAAAUGUGCUGCCCUGCUGUAAAAUACACAAACAGUACGACUAACCUGAUAACUCACUUGAAGUGGCACCACAGUGUUGUCGUGGAGGGGUCUGCUAGCGCCCUCACCUCCCCUGCUUCCAGCUCAGAUUUGCCUGCAGCCGGCAGCUCCAAAAGUGGUGAGCAAAGUAUUGCAAGUUUCUUCCAUGCCCUGCUUGAAAUAACAAAUGCUUUUGCAUUAUUUAUUUGCAAAGAUAUUCAGCAUUACUGUGUCACAGAAAACAAAGGUUUCAAACACCUCCUCCAAGUCUUGGAGCCUCGGUAUAAAAUACCAAAUCUACAGCUAUUCUCCAAAAAGUAGAUCCCUGCCCUUUACAACAAAGUUAGAAGAUAGAUGGCGGGCUCACUGAAAAGCCCAAGGAUACGCUUUGUAUUGUGAUUUCGGUGUGAAUCCUAUCGUAUUGCACCGCAUAAUGGCACAUAUGUAUCUUUCAUAUAUUGGAUCAGAGACAUUGUAUCAAGAUGUGUAUCAUAUCUGCCUUAUACCUAAGAUGCCGGACCCUACGAUAGACCCAACACAAGAGCAAACUGCACAGAGUACAGGCUUUAUAUGUAGAGCUUUGACACUAAUAAAACGUUCCCAUAGGUGCAGCUGCCAUUGGUGCUGGUGAAACUAUGAUGAGAGUAGAAGAGACUGAAACACACUUACUGUACCAAAAAGAGGUCAAAGAUUCCCUAGGUGGGUCGGGUCCACAGCAGAACAGAUUGUCAUGUUGAUUUAAAGCAGAUACGCGGUUAGAAAAAGUUCAGUGACUCUCAAGUUAGUUACGUUUGUCUCGCUGUUCCUUCCUUCCUCAACUGAUCUGGCACAGGAUGCUGCUGCAGCUUGCAUCUGUCAAUCAUGAUGGAAAAUCUGCCAUUUUUAAAACUCAGUAACCAUAAAUACAACAAUUCUCUGAGAAAUAAACUCGGACAUUAAUCUGCAUAUGAAGAACAAUCUGGAAUGUUACCAUGAAACCGUGUUUGAGAAAAUUUGACAUGAACCAUAAUUUUAUCAUUGGCCAUCGUCUCAUCUGCAACCAUCAACAAAGGCGCCAUUAAUGACCUUUGCUGCUACCAGUCAGCAGGAGGGGGGCUCUAGAUAUAUUGGCUUCAAACCAGACAGAUCCAUAGGGUGUUCUUUUUGCUACAAAUCGCCAUGUGCAUGUUUGCAUCUGAAAAACCUGUGGCCUGUUGCACUACCUUGCAUUCACUGAACCAUACUCUCAAAUUGUGAAGCUGUAGUUAAGCAAAUGGUUCAAAAAUUCAAGCCAGACAGACUGUUUCUAUAACGUCCAACAAAGGCAUCUUUCCAUAUAACUUGCCCUCUGACAUGUGGCCCACAAAUCAGUAGGUGUAGUAAAGAUAGGUAUAGAGAGGCAGUGGUGUAUGCAUUAAGAUAAAAUUCACCAGUUCCCAAGGUGACUUGUUACAGUGCAUUAAAGCAGGACUCUGCUGAAGAAAGUAAGAUGUUUGACUAAACCCCCACAAAAUCAAAACAAAACAAAAAAACUUAACCAGGUGUUUGUGUGGGGGGAUGAAAGGCUUGCGGUCAUGUUAAUUUGACCCCCUCUUUUAGUAUAAGAGUGAACGAUGACUGUCAGACUGAUAUAAGUUAUGCAAAUGAGAAAAUAUACCUGAUUCUGAGAAAAAAGCUUCAUACUUUUGCAUCUGGAACAUUUCUCCAUCGUGUGUCCUCAAACGUCUCCAGUUUCAUACUGAGUUGCUCUCACAGCUUUGAAACCUUUGUUUUUCUGCUCUUGACAAAUUGAUUGUGAGUGGCUGAAACACGAGAGAACGGCAAGCGUUUAAGCGAAUCCUUCGUCCUGCAUUUGACCCAUAAACCUCUGUAGUUUAUAAUGGCAGCCUGUCUUCCUGCAGACGUCUCUUUGUUGUAGCUCUGUGCUGAAGUGUCCUGAACAACGCUGGCUGUAAUUGCUAAAAGGUAAUUGCACUGGCAGGUUACAGCGAGGCUUUAGCUCCCCUGAGCCGCACCCUGAUCCCUGCAUAAGGAUGUGAUUAACCGCCAUCUCUUGUCAUUAACUGUGAGUGCUGUUGGAAAGCAGGAGAAAGUAAUUGUCAUAUUAGAACGGUUGCUUGGUCAGAUCGAGUGUUGAAUACAGUCUGAAGAGAUUAAAGCACACGGCAGAAUUGACCAAAUUGUUGGUGCUUGUUCCUGCAUUGAAAUGUGACAGCUGAGCAGACGUGUAAUGCUCAAUUUGCCGCUCUGAUAAUAAAACCACGCACAGCAGCCAUGCAGGAAAAGAGUGUUUUUCCUGUGAAUGUGUCGAUAGCUCAGAGGCCAA